CCAGACUCCUACGGGAGGCAGCAGUGGGGAAUAUUGCACAAUGGGGGAAACCCUGAUGCAGCGACGCCGCGUGAGUGAAGAAGUAUUUCGGUAUGUAAAGCUCUAUCAGCAGGGAAGAAAAUGACGGUACCUGACUAAGAAGCCCCGGCUAACUACGUGCCAGCAGCCGCGGUAAUACGUAGGGGGCAAGCGUUAUCCGGAUUUACUGGGUGUAAAGGGAGCGUAGACGGCAGCGCAAGUCUGAAGUGAAAUCCCAUGGCUUAACCAUGGAACUGCUUUGGAAACUGUACGGCUGGAGUGCUGGAGAGGUAAGCGGAAUUCCUAGUGUAGCGGUGAAAUGCGUAGAUAUUAGGAGGAACACCAGUGGCGAAGGCGGCUUACUGGACAGUAACUGACGUUGAGGCUCGAAAGCGUGGGGAGCGAACAGGAUUAGAUACCCCAGUAGUA
rnacentral:rRNA from 1 species